GCCUGGGCCAAGGAGCCGGUGCUGGUCGUGUCCUUCGUCAUUGGGAGCCUCAGACCCCCAGGGCCCCAGCCUGGAGUGGCUGAAGAAACUUCACUAACCUGAUCAAUUCUACACAUUGCAUUUGCCCAGGAUGCCUCUCACAUCUUCGAGAAGGUAGCCAUCUGCAAGUCAGGAAGAGAACUCUCGCCAGCAACCAAAUUCAUCGAGACUUGAUUUUGGACUUUCUAGCCUCCAGUAUUGUGAGAUAAUAAAUCUGUGUUUGAGUCACACAGUCUAGAGCAGCUUGUUAUCGCAGCCUGAGAAAACGGGUUGAUUGCAUGCAUGGAUUCCUCAAUCUAUUUUGAGCCUGUCCCUCAGCCUGGGUCCGGAAUGUCCCUCAGGGCUAGGUCAGUGAUGCUACAUGUAGCAGUGUCCCCAGCUUUGACCUGACCAAUCCUUUGUUUGUUCCCCCAUCUCUCUUAGCUCUGGGAAUGUUGGCUUGUCCUGCAGCAAACGUGCUCCAUUAUGUUGGCACAAGGAUGCAAGCCUGAUUCAAACUUGUAUUUAUUCAAACCUGCAUUCCAACAUGUUCUCAGCCUUGAGAUCAUUAAUAUGGACAGAAGUCCCUGGACUAACGGAAUUUAUAUUUUGGGAGCAGAGAUAGAUAAUAAAUAAACAAGAAAAUGACAUAGCACAUAAGAUGUGCUACACUGCAGAGGAGAAUGAGAAGAGAAGAAAAAAGUGCUUCUAUUUUCAGUAGAAUAGUCAAAGACAGCCUCGCAGAGAAGACCUUUAAGCAGAGAAUUUAGGAAGGUACAGAGAAUAAUGCAUGUGGAUACUGAAGGGGAGAGAGUUCUAGGCCAGAAGAAAAGCAAGUGCAAAAAUCCAGAGAUCACAGUGUUCUUGCAAAACAGCAAGGAGAUCACUGUACUGGGGCAGAAUAAGCAAGGGUUGGGAGAAGCGGAAUCUUCGGAAGCAGGGGAGGCUGGAUUAUGUGGGGCAUGGAAGCCACCAUGAGUUUGUUGCUCUGAUUAUGAAAGUGAUAAGAAGACGAUGUUGACAAGAGUGAUAUGAUGCGAGUUACGUUUUAGCUGAAUCCCUUGUCUGCUAAAAUCAGAAUAACAGAUUCAGGGUGACCUGUCAGAAUGCCACCAUGACAAUCCAGACACCAGGUGAUGGUGGCUUGAGCCAAGGAAGAAGCCAUGAAGCUGGCCUGAAGUGGUCAGGGAGUGGCCCAGCUGGGAAGGCAGAGCUCACAGGAUGUGCUGACACAUUGGACAUGAUUAUAAGGAAAAAGAGACAGUGACGACAGAACCAGAAAUGUUUUGGCCCGAGCAACUUGGAGGAAGUGACCAUCGACUGAAAUGGGGAAGAAUCAGGUUUUGGGUAGAAGAGAAUAGCAUGGGUGUGGAUCUAGAUGUGACGUUUGAGAGGUUUAUUAAACCUUCAAGAAGAAAGAUCAGCCAAGCAUGGAGACACAGAAUUUAUGGACAUAUAAUCUGGAGGCCACAGCACACAUAUCAUGAAGCCAGAAGACCAGAUAAUUUAAAUGAGGGAGAAAGUGUAGGGAAGAAAAAUUAGCCCAGCGACUAAGCUCUGAGGAUUCAACACGUAAGGGUCAGGAUGAUGAAGAAGAGGCCAGAAAGGAGACUGAGUAGAAGGAGCUGAUAAAAUAGGAGAAAACCCAGGAGAGCAUGUUGGCCUUAAAGCCAAGCAGUGAAAACGUCUUCAGGGAAAAGUGCAAUCAUCACGGCUGACAGAACCGUGGGACUCGCCAGGAAGCUCUUGCUAGAGAGGAGACAACUACCUCAGUGGUAUCACAGAGGCGGGCUGGCAAUGUCCUGACACACUGUCGAAUUUCAUGUAAUUUCCCAUCUUGCUAUUCCUGGAGCACUCUUUUCCCAUUUAGAAAUCCUCGGAAACCGCCGGGCACGGAGGCUCACACCUGUAAUCCCAGCACUUGGGGAGGCCGAGGCAGACAGAUCACGAGGUCAGGAGAUGGAGACCAUCCUGGCUAACACAGUGAAACCCCAUCUCUACUAAAAAUACAAAAAAUUAGCCGGGCAUGGUGGCGGGCGCCUGUGGUCCCAGCUACUCGGGAGGCUGAGGCAGGAGAAUGGGGUGAACCUGGGAGGUGGAGGUUGCAGUGAGCCGAGAUGCGCCACUGCACUCCAGCCUGGGCGACAGAGCAAGACUCUGUCUCAAGAAAAAAAAAAAGAAAA